UACAGAGGUCUCAACCGUUGUUCGGAUUCAUUGGGCGUAAAGGGUGCGUAGGCGGUCGGGUAAGUCGGAUGUGAAAUCUCAGGGCUCAACCCUGAAACUGCAUUCGAUACUGCUUGACUAGGGUACUGGAGAGGAGACUGGAAUUUACGGUGUAGCAGUGAAAUGCGUAGAUAUCGUAAGGAAGACCAGUGGCGAAGGCGAGUCUCUGGACAGUUACCGACGCUGAGGCACGAAGGUCAGGGGAGCAAACGGG
rnacentral:rRNA from 1 species